GAUGAACGCUGGCGGCGUGCCUAGUACAUGCAAGUCGAGCGAAUGGACGAGAAGCUUGCUUCUCUGAUGUUAGCGGCGGACGGGUGAGUAACACGUGGAUAACCUACCUAUAAGACUGGGAUAACUUCGGGAAACCGGAGCUAAUACCGGAUGAUAUUUUGAACCGCAUGGUUCAAAAGUGAAAGACGGUCUUGCUGUCACUUAUAGAUGGAUCCGCGCUGCAUUAGCUAGUUGGUAAGGUAACGGCUUACCAAGGCAACGAUGCAUAGCCGACCUGAGAGGGUGAUCGGCCACACUGGAACUGAGACACGGUCCAGACUCCUACGGGAGGCAGCAGUAGGGAAUCUUCCGCAAUGGGCGAAAGCCUGACGGAGCAACGCCGCGUGAGUGAUGAAGGUCUUCGGAUCGUAAAACUCUGUUAUUAGGGAAGAACAUAUGUGUAAGUAACUGUGCACAUCUUGACGGUACCUAAUCAGAAAGCCACGGCUAACUACGUG
rnacentral:rRNA from 1 species